rnacentral:rRNA from 1 species
AGCGAACGCUGGCGGCAGGCUUAACACAUGCAAGUCGAGCGCCCGUAGCAAUACGGGAGCGGCAGACGGGAGAGUAACACGUGGGAACAUGCCCUUCGGUUCGGAAUAACUCAGGGAAACUUGAGCUAAUACCGGAUACGUCCGUAAGGAGAAAGAUUUAUCGCCGAAGGAUUGGCCCGCGUCCGAUUAGCUUGUUGGUGAGGUAAUGGCUCACCAAGGCGACGAUCGGUAGCCGGCCUGAGAGGGCGGACGGCCACACUGGAACUGAGACACGGUCCAGACUCCUACGGGAGGCAGCAGUGGGGAAUUUUCGUCAAUGGGGGCAACCCUGACGAAGCAACGCCGCGUGGGGGAUGAAGGUCUUCGGAUUGUAAACCCCUCGUCGACUGGGACGAAUGUAGAACGGCCAAAUACGCCGAGCUAUUUGACUGUACCGGUGGGAGGAAGCCACGGCUAACUCUGUGCCAGCCGCCGCCGUAAG